rnacentral:rRNA from 1 species
GAUGAACGCUGGCGGCAUGCCUAAUACAUGCAAGUCGAGCGAACGGACGAGAAGCUUGCUUCUCUGAUGUUAGCGGCGGACGGGUGAGUAACACGUGGAUAACCUACCUAUAAGACUGGGAUAACUUCGGGAAACCGGAGCUAAUACCGGAUGAUAUUUUGAACCGCAUGGUUCAAAAGUGAAAGACGGUCUUGCUGUCCCUUAUAGAUGGAUCCGCGCUGGAUUAGCUAGUUGGUAAGGUAACGGCUUACCAAGGCAACGAUGCAUAGCCGACCUGAGAGGGUGAUCGGCCACACUGGAACUGAGACACGGUCCAGACUCCUACGGGAGGCAGCAGUAGGGAAUAUUCCGCAAUGGGCGAAAGCCUGAUGGAGCAACGCCGCGUGAGUGAAGAAGGUCUUCGGAUCGUAAAACUCUGUUAUUAGGGAAGAACAUAUGUGUAAGUAAAUGUGCAUAUCUUGACGGUACCUAAACAGAAAGCCACGGCUAACUACGUG